AUCCAAUUUCGGCUACAACUCUCU
rnacentral:siRNA from 1 species